rnacentral:rRNA from 1 species
GGCUCAGGAUAAACGCUGGCGGCGUGCUUAACACAUGCAAGUCGAACGGAGUGGUCCUCCCGAAGACCUGACGAGCUUGCUCUGAUGGAAUUCAUUUGGAUCACUUAGUGGCGGACGGGUGAGUAACGCGUGGGUAACCUGCCUCACACAGGGGGAUAACAGUUGGAAACGACUGUUAAUACCGCAUAAGCGCACAGAACCGCAUGGUUCAGUGUGAAAAACUCCGGUGGUGUGAGAUGGACCCGCGUCUGAUUAGCUAGUUGGUGAGGUAACGGCCCACCAAGGCAACGAUCAGUAGCCGGCCUGAGAGGGUGUACGGCCACAUUGGGACUGAGACACGGCCCAAACUCCUACGGGAGGCAGCAGUGGGGAAUAUUGGACAAUGGGGGAAACCCUGAUCCAGCCGACGCCGCGUGAGUGAAGAAGUAUCUCGGUAUGUAAAGCUCUAUCAGCAGGGAAGAUAAUGACGGUACCUGACUAAGAAGCACCGGCUAAAUACGUGCCAGCCGCCGC